rnacentral:rRNA from 1 species
CCUACGGGAGGCUGCAGUGGGGAAUCUUGCGCAAUGGGCGAAAGCCUGACGCAGCGACACCGCGUGGGGGACGAAGGCCCUCGGGUUGUAAACCCCUUUCGACAGGGAAGAAGCGAUCGUGACGGUACCUGUAGAAGAAGCCCCGGCUAACUACGUGCCAGCAGCCGCGGUAAGACGUAGGGGGCGAGCGUUGUCCGGAUUCAUUGGGCGUAAAGCGCGCGUAGGCGGCCCGGUAAGUCGGGUGUGAAAUCCUGGGGCUCAACCCCAGGACUGCACUCGAUACUGUCGGGCUAGAGGUAGGUAGGGGAGAUCGGAAUUCCUGGUGUAGCGGUGAAAUGCGCAGAUAUCAGGAGGAACACCGGUGGCGAAGGCGGAUCUCUGGGCCUUACCUGACGCUCAGGCGCGAAAGCUAGGGGAGCGAACAGGAUUAGAUACCCCGG